CCUACGGGAGGCAGCAGUGAGGAAUAUUGGUCAAUGGCCGGAAGGCUGAACCAGCCAAGCCGCGUGAGGGAGGAAGGCGCAGAGCGUCGCAGACCUCUUUUGCCGGGGGACAAAAGGCCGGACUCGUCCGGUCCUGAGGGUACCCGGAGAAAAAGCAUCGGCUAACUCCGUGCCAGCAGCCGCGGUAAUACGGAGGAUGCGAGCGUUAUCCGGAUUCAUUGGGUUUAAAGGGUGCGCAGGGGGGCCUUUAAGCCGGCGGUGAAAUCGCGGGGCUCAACCCCGCCGUGCAGUCGGAACUGGGGGGCUUGAGUGCGGUGGAGGCAUGCGGAAUGCGCGGUGUAGCGGUGAAAUGCAUAGAUAUCGCGCAGAACCCCGAUUGCGAAGGCAGCGGGCCGUGCAGGCACUGACGCUGAGGCACGAAAGCGCGGGGAUCGAACAGGAUUAGAUACCCCGGUAGUC
rnacentral:rRNA from 1 species